CCCUACGGGGCGCAGCAGUGAGGAAUAUUGGUCAAUGGGCGCGAGCCUGAACCAGCCAAGUCGCGUGAGGGAUGACGGUCCUACGGGUUGUAAACCUCUUUUGCCGGGGAGCAAGCGUGCGUUCGUGAACGCGCGUCGAGAGUACCCGGAGAAAAAGCAUCGGCUAACUCCGUGCCAGCAGCCGCGGUAAUACGGAGGAUGCGAGCGUUAUCCGGAUUUAUUGGGUUUAAAGGGUGCGCAGGCGGAAGAUCAAGUCAGCGGUAAAAUUGAGAGGCUCAACCUCUUCGAGCCGUUGAAACUGGUUU
rnacentral:rRNA from 1 species